rnacentral:rRNA from 1 species
UACGGGGGGGCUAGCGUUGUUCGGAAUUACUGGGCGUAAAGGGCGCGUAGGCGGCCUACUAAGUCGGACGUGAAAUCCCUCGGCUCAACCGGGGAACUGCGUCCGAUACUGGUGGGCUCGAAUCCGGGAGAGGGAUGUGGAAUUCCUGGUGUAGCGGUGGAAUGCGCAGAUAUCAGGAGGAACACCGGUGGCGAAGGCGGGUCUCUGGGCAGUAACUGACGCUGAGGAGCGAAAGCGUGGGGAGCGAACAGG